GGCCUAUUAGCCCAGUUGGUUAGAGUGUCGUGCUAAUAAUGUGAAGGUUACAAGUUCGAGACUUAUAUGUGCCA
rfam:Ipomoea nil DNA, scaffold: scaffold1101, cultivar: Tokyo-kokei standard.